UUUUUUUUAAAUUAAAAAGGUGGGGCAUGUGUCAGAUUUAGUAAAGUAAAAACNNUUUCAACAACGGAUCUCUUGGCUCUCGCAUCGAUGAAGAACGCAGCGAAAUGCGAUAGGUAAUGUGAAUUGCAGAAUUCAGUGAAUCAUCGAAUCUUUGAACGCACAUUGCGCCCUUUGGUAUUCCUUAGGGCAUGCCUGUUCGAGCGUCACUACACACCUUAUCACAAAGUUUGUGGUCUUGGCAGGAGUGAAUUGCUAGUCUAUCAAAAUGUUCCAGCUGUACACUCUGCUAAAAAUUAUGAGAAGGUUACCAGGCAUGAACGACGGACUUUAUAAACGGUUAUAAGACCUGGAUCAGUCACAAGUCUUGUCUGGUCCUUACCUUAAGGACCCCCAUCCUAGAUGAACUAUGGGUUGACCUCGAAUCNAGUNNNGGAGGGAUACCCGCUGAACUUAAAAAAUAUCA
rnacentral:rRNA from 1 species